rnacentral:rRNA from 1 species
GAUCAUGGCUCAGGACGAACGCUGGCGGCGCGCCUAACACAUGCAAGUCGAACGGUGAAGAGGAGCUUGCUCCUCGGAUCAGUGGCGGACGGGUGAGUAACACGUGAGCAACCUGGCUCUAAGAGGGGGGACAACAGUUGGAAACGACUGCUAAUACCGCAUGACGUAUCGGGAUGGCAUCUUCCUGAUACCAAAGAUUUUAUCGCUUAGAGAUGGGCUCGCGU